UUUGUUGCCACUGAAGCAAUUCCCACCAUUUCAGAGUUGAAAAACCUUAACAAUGCAAAAAAAAAAAAAGGUUGUUCUUAAAGGGCCUAAGUCAAGUGCCAGAUUAGAAGGCGAAGAAGAAACUCGUUCUAAGAUCAAGGCAAAGUUUAGAAAUGGCAUACAGAAUGAAGGUUUAAGGAAAAAAGAAACAGCAUCGAAACCCCGCUGCCAAAUGAUGUCCACAUAGGCCAAGGAAAUGGUGAGAUAAAUCAGCUAGUAAGAGAGAAGAACGCACGAGCAGAUGAUUCAAAUGCUCGUUUCAAUGAAACGAUGAUUGAAGAAAAGAGAGGUGAAGAAAAAGGAAGUUGAGG